rnacentral:rRNA from 1 species
GAUGAACGCUGGCGGCGUGCCUAAUACAUGCAAGUCGAGCGAACGGACGAGACGCUUGCUUCUCGGACGUUAGCGACGGACGGGUGAGUAACACGUGUAUAAUCUACCUAUAUGACUGGGAUAACCUCGGGAAACCGUAGCUAAUACCGGAUAAUAUUUUGAACCGCAUGGUUCAAAAGUGAAAGACGGUCUUGCUGUCACUUAUAGAUGGAUCCGCGCUGCAUUAGCUAGUUGGUAAGGUAACGGCUUACCAAGGCAACGAUGCAUAGCCGACCGGAGAGGGUGAUAGCCGGCCCUGGAACGGAACCACGGUCCAUGCUCCUACGGGAGGCAGCAGUAGCGUAUCUUCCGCAGCGGGCGAAAGCCUGGCGGAGCAACGCCACGUCAGUGGUGAAGGUCUUCGGAUCGUAAUACUCUGUUUUGAGUGAAGAACAUAUUUGUAAGUAGCUGUGCCGAUCUUGACGGUACCUGAUCAGAAAGCCCCGGCUAACUACGUG